CCUACGGGAGGCAGCAGUAGGGAAUCUUCGGCAAUGGGGGCAACCCUGACCGAGCAACGCCGCGUGAGUGAAGAAGGUUUUCGGAUCGUAAAGCUCUGUUGUAAGUCAAGAACGGGUGUGAGAGUGGAAAGUUCACACUAUGACGGUAGCUUACCAGAAAGGGACGGCUAACUACGUGCCAGCAGCCGCGGUAAUACGUAGGUCCCGAGCGUUGUCCGGAUUUAUUGGGCGUAAAGCGAGCGCAGGCGGUUUGAUAAGUCUGAAGUUAAAGGCUGUGGCUCAACCAUAGUUCGCUUUGGAAACUGUCAAACUUGAGUGCAGAAGGGGUAGAGUGGAAUUCCAUGUGUAGCGGUGAAAUGCGUAGAUAUAUGGAGGAACACCGGUGGCGAAAGCGGCUCUCUGGUCUGUAACUGACGCUGAGGCUCGAAAGCGUGGGGAGCGAACAGGAUUAGAUACCCUGGUAGUCCACGCCGUAAACGAUGAGUGCUAGGUGUUGGAUCCUUUCCGGGAUUCAGUGCCGCNGCUACGCAUAAGCACUCCGCCGUCGGGUAGGUACGACCGCGAGUAGUAACGUACAAGUAGAGUUAGACGGCGUGAGACGUAGCCGACGGACGACGACGAGGGAGGAGG
rnacentral:rRNA from 1 species